rnacentral:rRNA from 1 species
GAUGAACGCUGGCGGCGUGCUUAAUACAUGCAAGUCGAGCGAACGGACGAUAAGUUUGUUUCUUUGACGUUUGCGGCGCACGUGUGUGUAACACGUGUAAAACCCACCUAUCUGACUGGUAUCUUUUCGGGAAUCCGGCUCUUACACCGUAUAAUCUUCUGAACCGUAUUGUUGAAUAGAGAAAUUCGGCCUUUCUGUCUCUACUAGAUGGAUCUGCGCUGCAUUAGCUAGUUGGUAAGGUAACGGCUUACCAAGGCAACGAUGCAUAGCCGACCUGAGAGGGUGAUCGGCCACACUGGAACUGAGACACGGUCCAGACUCCUACGGGAGGCAGCAGUAGGGAAUCUUCCGCAAUGGGCGAAAGCCUGACGGAGCAACGCCGCGUGAGUGAUGAAGGUCUUCGGAUCGUAAAACUCUGUUAUUAGGGAAGAACAUAUGUGUAAGUAACUGUGCACAUCUUGACGGUACCUAAUCAGAAAGCCACGGCUAACUACGUG